rnacentral:rRNA from 1 species
UACGAAGGGGGCUAGCGUUGCUCGGAAUCACUGGGCGUAAAGCGUGCGUAGGUGGUUUGUUAAGUCUGUUGUGAAAGCCCCGGGCUCAACCUGGGAAUGGCAAUGGAUACUGGCAAGCUAGAGUGCGGUAGAGGGUAGUGGAAUUCCCGGUGUAGCGGUGAAAUGCGUAGAGAUCGGGAGGAACACCAGUGGCGAAGGCGGCUACCUGGACCAGCACUGACACUGAGGCACGAAAGCGUGGGGAGCAAACAGG